rnacentral:lncRNA from 1 species
GGAGAAAGGAGAGGUACCCUGUUGUUAUUCAGUUAAGCUGACUUCCUGAGGACUCCAUUUCAGGUUUUCUUGGACAAAGAUAUUGGAGCUCAUUUUACAGAUAAGGAAACUGAGGCAAACAACUGGGCUAAGUGAUUUGCCCAGGGCCACCCAGAUAAGCAUGUGCAUACACUCUCAGCCUACUCCCACUGCAAGUCUUUACCUCACAAGGUGAUGAAUAAUAGAAAGGUUGUAACUGCAUAGAAGAAUCUUCCAUUUGGCUGGGGAGCUGGAGCUGCAGAGACAGAAACUGAUCUAUGUUUCUGACCCUACUUCUUGUUAGUUAUGUCUUUUUCACUUCAGAUGCUGAUCAAAGACACUGGAACUGGCAUAAGAGGAAAAUAAACACCAUAGACACUGAUGCCAUAAAUAGUAAUGUAAAUAUAACAAUAACAAUGUACCACAAAGCCAAGAUGACCCAUGAGAAGGAAGACUACGCAUGAAUGGAGAAAGAAAUACAUCAUCUUUUGUAGUUAAUGCUAUCCCCCCCUCCAACCCCAAUCCCAAUCCCAGCCCCUAGUCAUGGGUGGUUUGGAAUCCAGAGGGGUACACCC